UCAUCCGACCGCUACGAUUACUACUGCGGACUUGCUUUUUAUAAAUAUUCUGUUUACGGAUACAUUACACACGCAUACGCACAUGAGAAAUUUAAAAUUGUAAUCGCGGUAAAUGAAAGACCUGGAUAACUACAAACAAUAUAUUAUAACUUUAUGACAAUAAAACUUUCACGAUUGAAUAAAAUUCGAACUGAUAAAUAAUAAAUGACCUAGUUCUGACGAUUUGAUACUA